rnacentral:rRNA from 1 species
GACGUAGGGCGCGAGCGUUGUCCGGAUUUAUUGGGCGUAAAGAGCUCGUAGGCGGCUUGUCGCGUCGUUCGUGAAAACCCACAGCUCAACUGUGGGCUUGCGGUCGAUACGGGCAGACUAGAGUUCGGCAGGGGAGACUGGAAUUCCUGGUGUAGCGGUGAAAUGCGCAGAUAUCAGGAGGAACACCGGUGGCGAAGGCGGGUCUCUGGGCCGAUACUGACGCUGAGGAGCGAAAGCCGUGGGGAGCGAACGGG